rnacentral:rRNA from 1 species
AUGGGGCGAACCACACCUAACCCUAUUUGGUGUCAGAUAUGGAAGUUAUCCUGUCCGGCAAAAGUCAAAUUUUUUAUAUGGCGUACGUUACAUGGCACCCUCCCAUGCCGGGCAACACUUGCUAAUAGAGACAUGAAGGUCUCGCCCCUUUGUCCUACUUGCUCUCACGGUGUAGAAGACACGAAGCACAUGCUUUUCCUAUGUACUAAAGCAAAGGAGGUUUGGAAGAGGCUAGGAAUAGAUGAGAUUAUUGAUAGAGCUUGUGAGAUUGAUCGUGCUAGAGAGGCGAUACUGGAAUACCUUUUAGUUCUCCCAGAUAAAGAUUUGCGUAUUAUGGGGUACCAAAAUGUACGAGAAAUGAUAGCUAUUUCAGCUUGGUAUCUAUGGUGGGAGAGACGGAAAUUAGUGCACAAGGAAACAACUCAGAAUGCAACUCAAAUAUCAAUGGGGAUCAUAGCCCUCACAUACAAUUUUGUAAAUGCAUCAUCUUCAAAGGCGUCCAUGAAAAAGGGGGGUUGGCAUUGUCCCCCUAGGGGUUUCGUGAAACUCAAUGUUGACGCCUCUUUUGACCAGGACAUGCUGAAGGGUACGAUGGGGGCGGUUUUGCGAGACGACAAAGGUAGGUUUAUUGCAGGAGGAAACGGAAAGAUUGACCAUUGCGCGGAUGUUCUGAUGGCAGAAGCUUUAGCCCUCAAAUUUGGACUAACACUAGCGCAAAGGGCAGGGUGCAAUCGCCUAAUCAUCAACUCAGAUAAUCUAGAGGUGAUUGAGACCAUGCAGGAUGGAGGACAGUCAACGGGUGUGGCGGCGGCAAUUUUCGAUGACUGCUUCCACUACGCAUGUGAUUUCAUCAUGACUAGAUUCGAACAUUGUAAUAGAGAGGCAAAUAGAGUAGCACAUGAACUUGCUAGAUUAGCUAGAUUUUCUUCAACUUUGGAUUGGUUCGAGGAGCCUAUCAAUGAAAUUGUACUCAUCCUCACAAACGAUGUAUUGGUUAUUUCUAAUGAAUAA